UACGAAGGGGGCUAGCGUUGCUCGGAAUCACUGGGCGUAAAGGGCGCGUAGGCGGCUGAUUAAGUCGGGGGUGAAAGCCUGUGGCUCAACCACAGAAUUGCCUUCGAUACUGGUUGGCUUGAGACCGGAAGAGGACAGCGGAACUGCGAGUGUAGAGGUGAAAUUCGUAGAUAUUCGCAAGAACACCAGUGGCGAAGGCGGCUGUCUGGUCCGGUUCUGACGCUGAGGCGCGAAAGCGUGGGGAGCAAACAGGAUUAGAUACCCUGGUAGUCCACGCCGUAAACGAUGAGUGCCAGCCGUUGGCCUGCUUGCAGGUCAGUGGCGCCGCUAACGCAUUAAGCAUUCCGCCUGGGGAGUACGGUCGCAAGAUUAAAACUC
rnacentral:rRNA from 1 species